rnacentral:lncRNA from 1 species
AGUCCUCCUGUCUUCUUCCUCUAUGGCAAGGGCUUUGAACCAUGUGACCUUUAAGAUGCCCACUGUUUCUGAAGGAUCUAUGAUUCUCUGACAUCUGACUCAUAAGCCAUGUUUCUUCACAUACAAGCUUUUGGGUCAUUACGGCAGAGUUGUGGACUUGGAAAGCAUCCGGAAAGUAUAAUAAUUUAGUUGAACCCUUUGUUUUCCGCCAUGUAGAAACUGA